UAGGUUUUGGUGUAUAGCACAGUAAAUUUUGAUUUUACAGGAAAUAAUUAAGUUUAUUAAAACUAA
rnacentral:tRNA from 1 species